GGCAUUUCGCCGCCGACUGCCGCAAGCCCAAGCGCGAGUAUGGAGCCUGCUACGCAUGUGGCAGUAAGGAUCAUCUGGUGUACAACUGCACUGAGAGGAAGUUCGUAUCCGACAACGAAUAUAAUGCCUAAUCGAUUCUGGAAGUCCAAUUAGUUUCAUAAAGAAGUCAUACGUCGAAAAAAUUUUGAAAAAGGAAGAUAUUACGUUAAAUGGAAAGAUUCUUAAAAAUUAUUUUGGCUUAAACGGUAGCCCUUUAGAUAUAAUUGGAAAAAUAUCAUGUUUCGUUAUUAUCAAUAAAGAAAUUCUAAAUUUUGAGUUACUAA